GACGAACGCUGGCGGCGUGCUUAACACAUGCAAGUCGAACGGAAAGGCCCUGCUUUUGUGGGGUGCUCGAGUGGCGAACGGGUGAGUAACACGUGAGUAACCUGCCCUUGACUUUGGGAUAACUUCAGGAAACUGGGGCUAAUACCGGAUAGAAGCUCCUGCUGCAUGGUGGGGGUUGGAAAGUUUCGGCGGUUGGGGAUGGACUCGCGGCUUAUCAGCUUGUUGGUGGGGUAGUGGCUUACCAAGGCUUUGACGGGUAGCCGGCCUGAGAGGGUAACCGGCCACAUUGGGACUGAGAUACGGCCCAGACUCCUACGGGAGGCAGCAGUGGGGAAUAUUGCACAAUGGGCGGAAGCCUGAUGCAGCAACGCCGCGUGCGGGAUGACGGCCUUCGGGUUGUAAACCGCUUUCGCCUGUGACGAAGCGUGAGUGACGGUAAUGGGUAAAGAAGCACCGGCUAACUACGUG
rnacentral:rRNA from 1 species